UGGGGAAUUUUGGACAAUGGGCGAAAGCCUGAUCCAGCAAUGCCGCGUGUGUGAAGAAGGCCUUCGGGUUGUAAAGCACUUUUGUCCGGAAAGAAAUCCUUGGCUCUAAUACAGUCGGGGGAUGACGGUACCGGAAGAAUAAGCACCGGCUAACUACGUGCCAGCAGCCGCGGUAAUACGUAGGGUGCAAGCGUUAAUCGGAAUUACUGGGCGUAAAGCGUGCGCAGGCGGUUUGCUAAGACCGAUGUGAAAUCCCCGGGCUCAACCUGGGAACUGCAUUGGUGACUGGCAGGCUAGAGUAUGGCAGAGGGGGGUAGAAUUCCACGUGUAGCAGUGAAAUGCGUAGAGAUGUGGAGGAAUACCGAUGGCGAAGGCAGCCCCCCUGGGCCAAUACUGACGCUCAUGCACGAAAAGCGUGGGGAGCAAAACAGGAUUAGAUACCCUGGUAGUCCACGCCCUAAAACGAUGUCAACUAGUUGUUGGGGAUUCAUUUCCUUAGUAACGUAGCUAACGCGUGAAGUUGACCGCCUGGGGAGUACGGUCGCAAGAUUAAAACUCAAAUGAAUU
rnacentral:rRNA from 1 species